rnacentral:misc_RNA from 1 species
AUUUUUUUAUCAGUUCCAUGUACAAUUGUGCUAUAGAGUAUACAUAAGAUUUUCUUUGAUUGAAACUGGUUUAGAAUAAAACACUAGUCAACAUUAAUAAGAAAGUAAACUAGAAGCUAACAAACAUCUUGAGUUGAGAGAACUAAAGUUACUUGCAUCUCUCUCAGGGGUAGCUGAUGUCUUUUUCAACGCGGGGUGUAUUCAUGGGAAGUCUCAGUCAGAAGCAAGAAUGACAAUGUCUUCAAAUGCAAAUCACAGAGAGAAGAUAUCAGAACACUUCUACAUGCUGAAUUGAGCCUAAACUAGCACCAGAUGUGUAUUCAUGGCUAGACGACUAAACUCCAAUAGCGAGUGACAGUGUUCAUCAGAGGAAGCCCAAACAUCACAUUGCAAGCAUACCUUACAAGGAAAUGAAUUUAUUGAAUUUGAAGUGACUUAGGCUUCCAAGUGGAUGGUGUGAGAAGUGUAAAAACAAAUCUAGGGGUCAUCCAAUUCAACAAUCUGUGCUCUUUUCUCAGCAGCUUUCUUCUUGAUGAAGAUGCCCCAUCUCAAUGCUGCUUUUAGUUUGAGCCAACCAACAACAGCCUUUCCUGAACGUGUACGGUCCUCAUCAAUACCAAAGCUUGAAGACAUACUGGGCAUGUAUGGUGAUCCAUAUGGGUAAUUAUUAUCUUCUGAGGUACUAGAAGAAGCAUGAUGCUGGCCACCCAUGUUGAAUAUAUGGAGAAGAUGUUGCAUGUCAUCAUUCUCUAACAUUUCUUGACUUCUGGUGCGUAUCUCUUCCUCUGUAUAGAAGUCAUCAGUUCCUUUAUAGGAUGAAUUAGGAGUGUUAGCAGCAAAAAAGCUAGAAAAUGGUGGCUGUGGUGGGUGAAGGGCCGGUCUACUCUCACUUCCAGUUGGCUGAGCUUGUUGUGACAUGCCUACAAAGUGGUUUUGAGAAAAUGAAGCACCACUUAACUGUUCAUUGACACUAAGAUUCGUGUUCUGAGACUCUGUGGUAUAUGUACCCAUUAGACUAUCGUUAUACCCUUCCAAUCCCAUGUUCAAUCCUGAAUUCAUGGGAGGCUGCUCUGAUGAAGUUGAAGCAGGAAGACUUGGCAGAUUGAGUUGAUGAUCAAAUGAAUUAGGAUGGUUCUGAGAACCAGUUGAAAGAUCAUACUGAGGAGCAUCUGAGGUUUUAUUCUGAUCAAGACUUAGAAGAGAUUUGCCAUCAUAUUCAACAACAUGCAUCCAGUUGUCAUAUGCCUUCUUGACUAAGGUGUCCACAUAUUCCUUUUGAUCCUCUGAAAGAGAAUCAACUGAAUGAUACUGUCCACCAGAGAUAAAACCACACAACUCAUAAAUAUUGCUAAAAACAACUCCGAUACUCUUCAUAUCAUCUGGAUAAUAGACAUAGAGCUUCCCACUAAGAACACAGGUCUUAGCAUGCUCCACGAGAGCAUCCCACAUCUUAUUUGACAUUCCACUUCCCAGG